rnacentral:rRNA from 1 species
AGUGAAUAGAUACCCAGGUAGUCCAUGCCGUAAACGAUGAGUGCUAAGUGUUAGGGGGUUUCCGCCCCUUAGUACUGCAGCUAAACGCAUUAAGCACUCCGCCUGGGGAGUACGACCGCAAGGUUGAAACUCAAAGGAAUUGACGGGGGCCCGCACAAGCGGUGGAGCGUGUGGUUUAAACUCGAAGCAACGCGAAGAACCUUACUAGGUCUUGACAUCCUAGUGACCGCUCUAGGGAUAGAGUUUUCCCUUCGGGGACAUCGGUGACAGGUGGUGCAUGGUUGUCGUCAGCUCGUGUCGUGAGAUGUUGGGUUAAGUCCCGCAACGAGCGCAACCCUUGAUCUUAGUUGCCAUCAUUUAGUUGGGCACUCUAAGGUGACUGCCGGUGACAAACCGGAGGAAGGUGGGGAUGACGUCAAAUCAUCAUGCCCCGUUAUGACCUGGGCUACACACGUGCUACAAUGGACGGUACAAAGAGUCGCUAACUCGCGAGAGUACGCUAAUCUCAUAAAACCGGUUCCCAGUUCGGAUUGUAGGCUGCAACU